AUCGAACGCUAGCGGGAUGCCUUACACAUGCAAGUCGAACGAGUGGCGGACGGGUGAGUAAUGUCUGAGAACCUGCCCGAUGGAGGGGGAUAACUACUGGAAACGGUAGCUAAUACCGCAUACCAUCGGAUGUGCCCAGGUGGGAUUGGCUAGUCGGUGGGGUAACGGCUCACCUGGGCGACGAUCCCUAGCUGGUCCGAGAGGAUGACCAGCCACACUGGGACUGAGACACGGUCCAGACUCCUACGGGAGGCAGCAGUGGGGAAUGUUGGGCAAUGGGGGAAACCCUGACCCAGCCAUCCCGCGUGUGCGAGGAAGGCCUUCGGGUUGUAAAUAACUUUUGGCAGGGAAGCGGUACCUGCAGACUAAGCACCGGCUAACUACGUGCCAGCAGCCGCGGUAAUUC
rnacentral:rRNA from 1 species